GACAGAGGGUGCAAACGUUGUUCGGAAUUACUGGGCGUAAAGCGCGUGUAGGCGGCCAUCUAAGUCGGGGCGUGAAAUCCCACGGCUCAACCGUGGAAGUGCACUCGAAACUGGAUGGCUAGAGUCCUGGAGAGGAAGGUGGAAUGCUUGGUGUAGAGGUGAAAUUCGUAGAUAUCAAGCGGAACACCGGUGGCGAAGGCGGCCUUCUGGACAGUGACUGACGCUGAGACGCGAA
rnacentral:rRNA from 1 species